UCGGCCCGAGCUGUAUGAGGCAAAAACUCGUCCCACGUACGGUUCGGAGGCCGAGCCCCACCCCAGCAGUAAGGGUGCGGCUUAGGUCAACUAACACAAAAAAGAUACAGUUCACUCAACGAUUGCCUUUGGGUUUCGAACUCCAUAUGGGGAAGGAGCGUUGUUGUUUGCGAGGUCUUGAUCAUUUACAUGGACCCACUUUUCAUUCCAUUUGUGGGAAUUUGAUGAUCUAUAAACCGUCCCUAACGAACGAUCGGCUCAUGUUGGAGCAUGAUGAAUCACUUCGUGCCGACCUGUUGCCAAUCCACUUUUCGUCCUCAUAUGAGAAUGGAAAACUGGAGCAUUCUUUCUCUCUCAUAAGUAGAAAAAGUAUGAAGAAUCGCGAACAAAAGAAUUUCUGUUUGACCAUGUUCCCAGAAAAAAGAUACUUUCGAGAAACGACGAGCACGAAUGAAGUGGCUAUACAUACAAAUCUAUUUACAGAUCUAUAUGCUUCGAUUGGAACUGGAAGUGGAAGAAAGGGCGGCUGGUAUACCACAAUAAUGAAAAAGCCCUUUCUUUUUUAUAUUCGGAAGGGAUUUCCGUUGGCUUCGUCGAGAGGCUCUCGUAGUUUGUUCAGUAAGUUCAAAAAGGAUCGGUGGUCUUGGAGUUGAGGAAGUUCCGUGGAGAAUAUAUAUCAAGCGGUCUACAGAAUAGAGUGGAAGAUGCCAUGGCCAAGUUUCGGGGAAGUGUAUCGAACGUCCGUCUAUUCCCGCAUUUGGCUACUUCUUCGUACAAUUAGUCUGGAAUAGAGAAAUGACAAUAAUACAAAGCGGCAUUCUCCCUUUACUCUAUCUUGAUUGAGAAUGGAAUUAUGGAACAAACUCCCAGAGCUGCGGAACUAAAGAGUCUAUUAGAAAGUAGAAUUAGCAACUUUUACACGAAUUUUCAAGCAGACUCGAUCGGCCGGGGGAGGAGUGCAAAGCCUGGAUGGCUUGGUAAGCAAGCAAUCCGUUAAACGGCGCCAACUCCCCAUUCUUUAUUUUUUUUCUUUUU